rnacentral:rRNA from 1 species
UGGGGAAUUUUCCGCAAUGGGCGAAAGCCUGACGGAGCAACGCCGCGUGAGGGAUGAAGGCCUCUGGGCUGUAAACCUCUUUUAUCAAGGAAGAAGAUCUGACGGUACUUGAUGAAUAAGCCACGGCUAAUUCCGUGCCAGCAGCCGCGGUAAUACGGGAGUGGCAAGCGUUAUCCGGAAUUAUUGGGCGUAAAGCGUCCGCAGGCGGCCUGAUAAGUCUGUUGUCAAAGCGUGGAGCUUAACUCCAUUUCGGCAAUGGAAACUGUGAGGCUUGAGUGUGGUAGGGGCAGAGGGAAUUCCCGGUGUAGCGGUGAAAUGCGUAGAUAUCGGGAAGAACACCAGUGGCGAAGGCGCUCUGCUGGGCCAUAACUGACGCUCAUGGACGAAAGCCAGGGGAGCGAAAGGGAUUAGAUACCCCUGUAGUC